rnacentral:rRNA from 1 species
UACGUAGGUGACAAGCGUUGUCCGGAUUUACUGGGCGUAAAGAGCGCGCAGGCGGUCGAUCAAGUCGAGUGUGAAAGCCCCCGGCUCAACUGGGGAGGGUCAUUCGAUACUGAUCGACUCGAAGGCAGGAGAGGGUAGUGGAAUUCCCGGUGUAGUGGUGAAAUGCGUAGAUAUCGGGAGGAACACCAGUGGCGAAGGCGGCUACCUGGACCAGCACUGACACUGAGGCACGAAAGCGUGGGGAGCAAACAGG